UGGCGCACGGGUGAAGUAACACGUGGGAACCUGCCUUUCGGUACGGGAUAACCGCUGGAAACGGCGGCUAAUACCGUAUGUUCCCGGACGAGGUGGUGUUGUCCGGGUAAAGAUUUAUCGCCGAGAGAUGGGCCCGCGGCCGAUUAGCUUGUUGGUGGGGUAACGGCCUACCAAGGCUGCGAUCGGUAGCUGGUCUGAGAGGAUGAUCAGCCACACUGGGACUGGGACACGGCCCAGACUCCUACGGGAGGCAGCAGUGGGGAAUAUUGGACAAUGGGGGCAACCCUGAUCCAGCCAUGCCGCGUGAGUGACGAAGGCCUUAGGGUUGUAAAGCUCUUUCACCCGUGAGGAUGAUGACGGUAGCGGGAGAAGAAGCCCCGGCUAACUCCGUGCCAGCAGCCGCGGUAAUACGGAGGGGGCGAGCGUUGUUCGGAAUUACUGGGCGUAAAGGGCGCGUAGGCGGCCGGUUUCGUUAGGUGUGAAAGCCCCGGGCUCAACCUGGGAACUGCACUUAAUACGGGCCGGCUCGAGAGCGGGAGAGGAGUGUGGAAUUCCCAGUGUAGAGGUGAAAUUCGUAGAUAUUGGGAAGAACACCGGUGGCGAAGGCGGCACUCUGGCCCGUUUCUGACGCUGAGGCGCGAAAGCGUGGGGAGCAAACAGGAUUAGAUACCCUGGUAGUCCACGCCGUAAACGAUGUGCGCUAGCCGUUGGGCAGCAUGCUGUUCAGUGGCGCAGCUAACGCGUUAAGCGCACCGCCUGGGGAGUACG
rnacentral:rRNA from 1 species